UACGGAGGAUCCGAGCGUUAUCCGGAUUUAUUGGGUUUAAAGGGUGCGCAGGCGGGAGUUUAAGUCGGCGGUGAAAUUUUGCAGCUCAACUGUAAAAGUGCCUUCGAAACUGGUUUCCUUGAGUGUAGAUGAAGUAGGCGGAAUUUGUGGUGUAGCGGUGAAAUGCAUAGAUAUCACGAGGAACUCCGAUUGCGCAGGCAGCUUACUAAACUACUACUGACGCUCAGGCACGAAGGCGUGGGGAUCAAACAGGAUUAGAUACCCUGGUAGUCCCU
rnacentral:rRNA from 1 species